UACGGAGGAUGCAAGCGUUAUCCGGAUUUAUUGGGUUUAAAGGGUGCGUAGGCUGUGCAUCAAGUCAGUGGUGAAAGACCGGAGCCCAACUCCGGAAGUGCCAUUGAUACUGAUGUGCUAGAGUACCCCUGCCGUGGGGGGAAUGAGUGGUGUAGCGGUGAAAUGCAUAGAUAUCACUCAGAACACCGAUUGCGAAGGCAUCUCACGAACGGGCAACUGACGCUGAGGCACGAAAGCGUGGGGAUCAAAC
rnacentral:rRNA from 1 species